rnacentral:rRNA from 1 species
UACGGAGGGUGCAAGCGUUAUCCGGAUUCACUGGGCUUAAAGGGCGCGUAGGCGGCUUCCCAAGUCCGGGGUGAAAUCUUUCGGCUUAACCGGAAAAGUGCCUUGGAUACUGGGAGGCUCGAGGGAGGUAGGGGCAAGCGGAACUUCCGGUGGAGCGGUGAAAUGCGUUGAUAUCGGAAGGAACGCCGGCGGCGAAAGCGGCUUGCUGGACCUCAUCUGACGCUGAUGCGCGAAAGCUAGGGGAGCGAACGGG